rnacentral:lncRNA from 1 species
UUCCCUUCAGGCAGCAGGAGGUAUCUGGAAGAGAGGAAGAGGAGGACCACAAUGGAGUGUGAUUCAGCUUCUUGAUGCUGAAUCCUGUAAAAGAGAAGGAGACCCACCCCGAGCCAUGGGAGCACUGCCAACCUGGGUCUGCCUUGGGAGCUAUGAAAGCCUUUCAGGAGGACAUGAUGUCUGAACUAAGUCCCCACAGGCUAUGCGGAUUCAUUAGAAGAAUAAUGUCAAUCACAGCUUUAACACCUUAACUAUGGAAGGGACUAAUGAGAAAGCACUUUAGAAGGUGAGACUUCAUGUUCAUUUUGAAAUAAUUGGUCUUCAUUUUUCUUCUUAC